AACGCAACUUGCGCUCCUUGGUAUUCCGAGGAGCAUGCCUGUUUGAGUGUCUUGAAGUCAUCAACCCCGACCGUUUUGCUACGACCGGGGUUGGAGCUGGGGGACGUUGCCGAUCGCCUCGACCGGCUCCCCUCAAAUGCUUCGGUUGGGCCCGCGGGUCAAACGUUUGGGCGUUGUACCAUCCUCGCUCUACGGCGCUAGACCCGCUGAACCGUGCCCCUCCUCGACCUCGCCCGACCGGUUUCGGGUGGUCAAUGCAAACUUUGAAAUCUGACCUCAAAUCAGGUAGGACUACCCGCUGAACUUAA
rnacentral:misc_RNA from 1 species